UCCGAAUUGGUGUAGUGGCUAACAUUUGACGCUCUCAUCUCCUGCCUGUGUAUGACUCAGUACAUCCGGCUGAAAUGUCCCGUCAAGCCCGGGGUUCGAUUCCCCGAUUCGGAG